CUGCAUACUCACGUGAUGUACGAAUCAUCAAAACAACAUGGCGACUACAGAGCUGUCGUUUCUCUCCCAGGUCUUCCUAUCGUUAUGCAUAACGUAUGUGUGUAUUGCCACACAUGUCCAUCAGUUCGAGGUUGAUCUUAGACAUCUAACGCAGUCCGUGGAAUAUAAGAAGGCCAUCAGGAGCAGACGAGACCUUGCAGAUGCCGCGUGCCAAAGACAGGAGUCUAGCUUUUUGCAGGAAGUCAAUUCAGGAAAAGUUAAAUUAGAACAGAAGCAUUCCUUUGGAAACGAGUCUUACUACAGCCUAGCCUUAGCCUGGUGUGGAAACAAUGGGGAUUUACUGGUAGUAAUAACUCGAGAGGGUAAUGGCAUCGUUAGUCCAUCCAAGAUAUUUCAAAGCCCUAACUAUGGUGCUAAGUUUGAUGAGGUGACCAACAGGUUAGAAGGUGUUCCUAGGAUUCUACGACAUAACGGGGUGUUUAGAAACCCUCACAACACCAGGAAGGUGUAUUUAGUGGAUGUGGGUGACAAGUAUGGCUCCUCCCUCUACGUCACAGAGGAUGGGGGGGACACAUUUUUUAAAUUUGCGCUUCCUUUCCAACUGACGGGAGACAUUACCUUUUAUCCAAGGAAAGAGCACGAAGACUACCUAUUAGCUUCUUCAGCCAUACUUAGUACAAAGACUCUGUAUGCCAGCUUUAACAAUGGCAGAACAUGGAAGAAGGUGGAUUCCUAUAUACAGAACUAUAAAUGGGGCACAGAAGAAGAUGAUCCACAGACAGUCUACGCCACGAUCGACCUCGAGAAGACCCACCCCUUCCUGGCUUCCUUUGUCUCAGUUCAUUACGUUCUCCAGAAAUAUGUCUAUAAAAAGGAUGGGGCAUUAGUUAAACGGACCAAGAUUCUGGAACAUGUUGUGUCGUUUGGUCAUCAGGACAAGUUCCUCUACGCCUCGGUGUACUCGGAGCAAGUAAGAGGAAAUCGUUUGAUGAAGAUUUCAGCAGAUCUUGGUAAAUCUUGGAAUACAGCCCAGCUACCAACGAUCACUGGAGAUAGGUUUUACUCGGUGCUUGAUAUGAAUGAGAAGUUGGUGUUUAUGCAUGUAGAUAACCCUGGAGAUACUGGUCACGGAACACUCUACACGUCCGGCGUGCGGGGGCUCGUGUACUCAGAGUCUCUCCAGAAACACCUGUACCCAAACUACGGGGAGGUGACUGACUUCUACCGGGUGGAGUCUAUGCGGGGCGUCUACAUCACGAGUCAGAUGUCCGAAGACGACAGCAUUCAUAGCAUGAUAACCUACAACCGGGGCGCCACGUGGCAGCCUCUCCCCCGACCCCAGGGUGCCAUGUGUAAGGACGAGAAAAAGCCCUGCCAUCUACAAAUCCAUGGUACCUACAGUAUACAGAGGGGUCACGUGGCGGACGCUUUACAGACAACCCAGCCUGAUGUGUACGUCACCAGUGAUGGAGGAUACAGCUGGGCAAAGGCACUAGACGGUCCCCACAUGUACCAGAUAGCUGACAGUGGGGCUCUAUUAGUGGCCAUCUCUACGUCCGACCCCCAGCCGACGGUCAUUAAGUUCUCUGUGGAUGAGGGGCGAUGCUGGCACGAGUACAAAUUUAUACAGAACGCCUCAGAGGCCAUCAUAUUGACCGGUCUACUGACCGAGCCCGAGAACCGAGCCAUGGUGGUCGGGGUGUGGGGGUACCACCCCACAAAGAAGACCUGGACCGUGUUUGCCAUAGACUUUGCUAAGGCCAUUCCAAGGAAAUGUGGCCGUGAUGACUAUGAGGUGUGGAAGCCUCACUUUGAGCUGAGGAAGGUGGAGCAGGCGGGCGUGAGGGGCUGUCUCCUGGGACUCAGGGAGGAGUUCAUGCGAAUCAAGAAGGACAACUGGUGCACCAAUGGAUAUAACUAUACUAUAGAAAAGAAAGCCACUGAGUGCAUCUGUACCCGGGAAGAUUUCGAAUGUGAUUAUGGUUUCCUGAGGGAGACUGGCUCUGAUAUAUGUAAGGAGGACCGGGCGUUCAGGAAGCCCCAGAUUGACAUUUGUAUGCGGGGUCACGAAGAGCAGAUAGUGACAGAGGGGUACAGGAAAAUCCCAGGGGACAAGUGUAAGGGAGGGUUCUCCCCCACCGGGCGACAGAUUGAUAUGGCCAUACAGUGCUCUGAAAACUCCAAAGAGCUUGUGAUAGAAGAAGUCUCAUUUCAGGAGACAAAAUUGAAGUCCAAUGGUAGCGUGGUGGCGGCGGUGCUGAUCAUUGUGGUGUUGUUAGUGGUGGUGAUGGGGGUGUUCUUGGUCCACAAGUUUAUCGUACUCAGGAGGCAUCGUGUAGUAUACAGAUAUUCUCUGCUGAAUCAGAAUGAUGCCGAUCGAUACGAUAAUGAGUUUGAGACGGCCAUAUCAGCGGCGUCUGGGACAGUCUACCACGAUUCUGAUGAUGACGAAGAACUGAACUCUCCAGCUGUGAAGAAAGACAAAAGAAGCUAUGGAUUAAUGAAUGGAUUAAAGAAGGAGUCCCACGGUACCCACGUAAAGUCUUAUCACGACGACUCUGACGUGGACAUGCUGGAAUAGAUACAGAAGGAAAGAGAGAUCUGCGUCAACAUUCCUCAAUGACUUUCAAACUCAGGCCCGGGGGUUUCAAUGGAUAUAAAUUUUAUAUAUUCUGUAAACCUGUGUUAAAAUAUCGGACAGAGACCAAAAAAAAAAAAGAAACAUGGAAACUAUAAACAAAUUACUUCCUGUCUUAACUGUUGCCUCGGAGACCAAGGAAAUGGAAUUCUGUUUCUUGGACAACAUUGUUUCCCAAAGAAUUACCAAAGUGGAUUCUUGGCAGAGUGAUAGACUCAUCUGUAAUUUUGUCAACUAUCUGUGAUGUAGCAGGGAUUUCUACGAGUCUGGGCCAUCAAAGAUUUUGUUGUUCAUCUUUAGUUAUGUCUUGGUUUAAACAUUUGCAGAUGACUUUUCAAGUUAUCUCAAUCUUGAGGGCAAUCGGUUUGUUGGAAGUCCAUGGGUCUAAACAAUUUUAUUUAUAAGAAGUGCUAACCAGGAUUACUGUAAACCAACUUUUAAAGUGUGCGAGAAAUUUUCGCGAGGUUAGAGAGAGCCUUGUCGUCGUGAAUAUUUUUCGCCGCGAACCAAUUCUUUGUCUAUAGUUUUUAUAACAAUACAGGUCUGGAUAAGGCUUGGUCGCGAACAUUAGUCUUCGCGAACCAGUUUAUGGGCAGUUAAUUGCGAAAUAAAGUCGCCGCAAAUUAAAAUUGAUUCACAGUAUAUGUUCGAUGUGAACUGUGGUCUCAUCCUUAUUUGUUGAAGAUUGAAUUUUUGUGGAUUUGAAAGAUGAGAUUUA
rnacentral:sRNA from 1 species